GACGAACGCUGGCGGCGUGCUUUACACAUGCAAGUCGAACGGUAAGGCCCCAGCUUGCUGGGGUACACGAGUGGCGAACGGGUGAGUAACACGUGGGUGACCUGCCCCGCACUUCGCGAUAAGCCUGGGAAACUGGGUCUAAUACCGGAUAGGACCGCACCGUGAGGGUGUGGUGGAAAGUUUUUCGGUGUGGGAUGGGCCCGCGGCCUAUCAGCUUGUUGGUGGGGUAGUGGCCUACCAAGGCGGCGACGGGUAGCCGGCCUGAGAGGGUGGACGGCCACAUUGGGACUGAGACACGGCCCAGACUCCUACGGGAGGCAGCAGUGGGGAAUAUUGCACAAUGGGCGGAAGCCUGAUGCAGCGACGCCGCGUGGGGGAUGACGGCCUUCGGGUUGUAAACUCCUUUCACCAUCGACGAAGGUUUUCUGACGGUAGAUGGAGAAGAAGCACCGGCUAACUACGUG
rnacentral:rRNA from 1 species